rnacentral:rRNA from 1 species
UUAUACAACUUUCAGCAACGGAUCUCUUGGCUCUCGCAUCGAUGAAGAACGCAGCGAAAUGCGAUAAGUAAUGUGAAUUGCAGAAUUCAGUGAAUCAUCGAAUCUUUGAACGCACCUUGCGCUCCUUGGUAUUCCGAGGAGCAUGCCUGUUUGAGUGUCAUUA